UACUAGGUAGCUCAGUGGUUUAGAGCAGUCGCCCGGCAAGCGAAAGACACGGGGUCGAUUCCUGGUCUAGCGA
rnacentral:tRNA from 1 species